rnacentral:rRNA from 1 species
CACCGCGGUUAUACGAGAGGCCCUAAUUAAUAAACACGGCGUAAAGAGUGGUUAGGAGUUAAUAAAACUAAAGCCAAAGACCUCCUAAGCUGUUAUACGCACACGGAGGCACGAAGCCCUAUAACGAAAGUAGCUUUAAAACCUCUGACCCCACGAAAACUAAGACA